rnacentral:rRNA from 1 species
UACAGAGGGUGCAAGCGUUAAUCGGAAUUACUGGGCGUAAAGCGCGCGUAGGUGGUUCGUUAAGUUGGAUGUGAAAUCCCCGGGCUCAACCUGGGAACUGCAUUCAAAACUGUCGAGCUAGAGUAUGGUAGAGGGUGGUUGAAUUUCCUGUGUAGCGGUGAAAUGCGUAGAUAUAGGAAGGAACACCAGUGGCGAAGGCGACCACCUGGACUGAUACUGACACUGAGGUGCGAAAGCGUGGGGAGCAAACAGG